ensembl:rRNA 5S_rRNA 5S ribosomal RNA
AUCUACGGCCAUACCACCCUGAACGCGCCUGAUCUCAUCUGAUCUCGGAAGCUAAGCAGGGUCGGGCCUGGUUAGUACUUGGAUGGGAGAAAUUAGCUAACCCCCGUCCCACAGGAC